rnacentral:lncRNA from 10 species
CCUAUAUGAUACAAUGUAAUCUUCAGAGUAACAUUGUGAAGGUGGCAGUCUCGGAUCAUUUUCAAAUGAGGAAAUCGAAGCACAAGGAGAUGAUGCUACAAAGGAUAUCGGCAUGUGUGUGACAUUUUUUUGUCUUCCAUUGAAUUGCUGAGCACAUUCCUGAGAGUGUGUUUACUGGUUCACAGAACAGGAACACAUUACAACCCUUUCUGUGUAAUAUCAGACUGCCC